UAAUACUCCAUAGUUCGUUAUUACUGGAAUGUUUUUCGAACGAAAGAUCCGUCGCUUCAGGAUGAGUCUGCGGCCGAUUAGGUAGUUGUUGGGGUAAUUGCCCAACAAGCCUGUAAUCGGUACGGGUUGUGGGAGCAAGAGCCCGGAGAUGGAUUCUGAGACACGAAUCCAGGCCCUACGGGGCGCAGCAGGCGCGAAAACUUUACCAUGCGGGCAACCGUGAUAAGGAAACCCCGAGUGCCAGCACAGGCUGGCUGUCCGCCAGUUUAAACAACUGGCGAAGAAAGGGCCGGGCAAGACCGGUGCCAGCCGCCGCGGUAAUACCGGCGGCUCGAGUGGUGGCCGCUAUUACUGGGCUUAAAGGGUCCGUAGCUUGAUAAUAGGGUCCCUUGAGAAAUCCGCCGGCUUAACUGGCGGGCGUUCAGGGGAAACUUGUUUUCUAGGGACCGGGAGAGGUGAGGGGUACUGCCGGGGUAGGAGUGAAAUCCUGUAAUCCCGGUGGGACCACCUAUGGCGAAGGCAUCUCACCAGAACGGCUCCAACAGUGACGGAUGAAAACUGGGGGAGCAAAGCUGAUUAUAUACCCGGUUGGUCCCAUCUGCUAACUAUGU
rnacentral:rRNA from 1 species